rnacentral:misc_RNA from 1 species
AGAUGAAGAACGUAGCGAAAUGCGAUACUUGGUGUGAAUUGCAGAAUCCCGUGAACCAUCGAGUCUUUGAACGCAAGUUGCGCCCGAAGCCAUUAGGCCGAGGGCACGCCUGCCUGGGCGUCACACGUCGUUGCCCCCCCCAUCUACUCCUUCGGGAUUGCGGGGGGCGGAUGAUGGCCUCCCGUGCGCCUCGCCGCGCGGUUGGCAUAAAUGCCAAGUCCUCGGCGACGCACGCCACGACAAUCGGUGGUUGCGAAACCUCGGUUGCCCGUCGUGUGCAGUCGUCGCGCAUCGAGGGCUCGAAAAAAUUGCCGGGUUCCGGCUCGGCUUUCAACGCGACCCCAGGUCAGGCGGGGUUACCCGCUGAAUUUAAGCAUAUCAAUAAGCGGAGGA